rnacentral:lncRNA from 1 species
UACAACCUUUGCAACCGUAAGGGACAGUUAAGACAAGAGAUGGAGGAUAUUAGAGAAGGUGUUUCCAUCGUUACAAAUUGUCUGGCAUAGUAGCUUUAUGGCCCUCACGACAAUCAUAAGUGGCGGUUAAGACAAAAGACGGAGGAACAUCAGAGAAGGUUUUUUCUCCUCAGCAAGCCCUGGCACGCCCCCUCUGCGUUGUAUCGGAAGUUCACCGCAACACCCACGGUAGGAUGUUUAAUCGUUCCAACUUCUCUUGAUGGUGAAGAGGAAAGAAAAAAGGAAAAGAAAAAACUGGUAGUGGCG